CCAGGGGGCCGGGCAGCCGCGGGUGCGAAAGCACGCGAGGAAAGUCCGGGCUCCACGAAACGAGGGUGGCGGGUAACGCCCGCCGGGUCCGUGCAAGCGGGCUCAGGGAAAGUGCCACAGAGAGUAUACCGCCGACGCGGCCCUAAAGGCCGCAGGCAAGGGUGAAAGGGUGCGGUAAGAGCGCACCGGGGUCUCGGCAACGCGGCCCGCAUGGCAAACCCCACCCGGAGCAAGGCCGAAUAGGGGCGGCGCGCCCGCGAAUGCGGGCCGGGGUGUUUCGCCCCGAGCGCAAGCUGCGACCGCCCGGGUUGGCUGCUUGAGCGCACGGAGCAAUCCGUCGCCUAGACGAAUGGCUGCCCUCGCGGGGGCCGGUCCCUCCCAAGGAAACUAGGGACGGGAUACCGCCCGCGAGACAGAACCCGGCUUACAGGCCCCCUGGCAUU
rnacentral:RNase_P_RNA from 1 species